GUGUUCGCUUCAGCAGCACAUGUACUAAAAUUGGAACGAUACAGAGAAGAUUAGCAUGGCCCCUGUGCAAGGAUGACAUGCAAAUUCGUGAAGCGUUCCAUGUAUAU
rnacentral:snRNA from 1 species